rnacentral:tRNA from 2 species
GUGAGCGUAGCUCAGUUGGUAGAGCGCCGGAUUGUGGUUCCGGUGGCCGCGGGUUCAAAUCCCGUCGUUCACCCCA